GCUGUACACCAACACCCGUAAACCUGUAAAGCUAAAUAUGCACCUGUAAGAAACACUCACAUGCAUUUGAAAUAAAAUACAGUUGUGUGUGACAUUUUCAACUACAAGUCUGUAAACACAAGUGUACAGAUCUGUUUCUGCACACGCUCAACUUUUUUAUUACAAUUGCACAGCUUUCCUCUCACACAUCUGAUUUUUGAAACUAUUUUCACGAUUAAUAUGUGUCAAAAUGCACAAGUUUGUAAAUUUGUUGUCUGAUUCCGUACAACACAAUGUGGGCUUGAAGAUUGGAUGUGAGUGUGUGUACCGUAAAAGGUGAGCUUGAAGUUUUGAGGUGAGUGUCUGUGCAUUAAAAUGUGAGAAGCUGCACAUCAACAUGUGUGAAAUUGUGAAGAUAAAUAGUACUUGUAAGAAAAAGUAAAUUGUAUGUGAAACAAAAUAAACUUACAUGUAAAAUUUUCUUCUGCGACCCAGUAAAUACAACUUCUCAAAUACGUUUCUGCGCAUGCUCAGUUGUUGUUUUACAAGCGCACAACUCUCCUCUCGCGAGUCUGACUUUUGAAACACUUCUGGCAGGUUGUGUGUUGCAAAUUGCAGCUGUGUGUAUCUGCAGAGGCGAGUGGAGCAGGGGAUGAGGGCGAGGGUGGGGGCGGAAGGAGGAGCCACAGAGGGAGGGUUGUCAUUGGCCGGCUCUGGUUUCCAGGACAACAGGCUCAACCAAUCAGAGUGAGAGCUGCGUUUUUCCCUCGGCUUUCAGUCCGCUGCUGUCUGCAGUUCGCGAUGGCUGAACGAGCUGGGGCACUGUUUAGACCAGCGGUACUCAGCUGACAGUCUGUGGGCCACGUCCAGCCCGCAGGUUCAUUCUUUGUGGCCCUUGGUCCACCAGGACAGGGAUGCACUGACAUCUGGCCAGGUCAGAUGUCUUACCUGUCGUAUUCCGAUGCCAGGAAAAGGCAGAUUGCAAUGCUGAGAUGGUUCUGGACCACAUCACCUGGCCAGAUGAAGAAGAGCUGGAGGAUGACAGCGAAUCUCCUCUUGCUGUGAAAUGUUAGAUCACAAGCUACUUGCGUAGAUUUGUUGAGACAGUGUAUGAAGAGCAAAGGAAGCAGCUCGUGAAGUUUUGGGUUGGAUGGGAGAAACCCAUGAAGGAUAUGAAAGUGGAAAUAAUGCAGGCAGACCAUCCAACCUCAUCUAGCUGCUUCCAUAUUCUACGUCUGCCCUGCCACUACACAACAUUUGAUGUUUCGCAAUCAUCUUGAAAGUUGCAUAGCAACCAAUGUUCAUGGUUUUGGAUUGAUCUAAAGUUUAACGUCAUGCUAUUUGCCAGUGCUGUUCAGGUUAUACCAAACAAAUCUUUUUUUUAUUUAAUCAUCAAGUUACAGCUGAAAGUUUCAGGAAUAUUGAGUUACAAGUAAGGCA